ACACUGACAGAUAAGCGUAUCAACUGAACAGAAAGGUAUACAAGGUAUUGACUUUAAAUUGAUCAAGUCAUCUGAGCUUGAAAAUGGCAUCCAAUUUCAUCCUGUUUAUCCUGCUGUUUGGAGUCGCUUUGGUGUGUCAGUGCAGCAAGAUUUCCACUGAAGAUUCAUUGUCCCUUAUGGAUCUGCUGAGUGCUGAAUUGGACGACGAUACCUCUGAGGAUAUCACAACUCGCAAUUUCAUGGGAUGCUUUGACGUGAGAAGUGAGAAGUUCUGCAAACGGUUUAAAACACACUGCGUAGGUUCAGGUUCAAAUAACAAUUUCAUGUUGAAAAAUUGUCGCUGGACAUGCGGAUGUGUUUGAAGUGAGCGUGAAUUUAAUUCACAGUUCAAAAGAAGGAAAAACUGACCAGACCUUGGCAAGGAAAGAACACAUUAUCUACAAAAAGUAAAAAAAGAAACGAUCAAGAUAACUUAGAAAAGUUAAGAUGUUCUACUACACAAAUUCAAAGCCAAAAUGUAUGCCAUAAAAAGGUAAAUCAAUAAAAGAGAUAAUAAGUAUAAUGCUA